CCGAUUCACCCGGUCCACCCAUCACCUCCCCCCAAGCAUUGCUAGCUUCACUCGUCUCCAUGGCUGAAUCUCCUCUAUUUCUUCUUCCAUUAGCACACCACACACCAGCGGCCAUCGUCGGUCGCCUUAGACCGGCGCCGCUACUGCCUCCCGUUGCUUCAACCCCUGCUCCUGCAACACCGACGUUCUGCAUCGCCGCUGCAAACCACCGUCUCCGUUUGCAAGCACAUGGGUCCAGAGGAUGCCAGGGACUGGUCACCAUCUGGGGAGCGAGGGGUCACGGCCGCCUAUGCGCGAGCGCCGGCUUGGGCUGCGAAUCCGGCGGUGCAGCGCGGGCGGCUGCUCUCUUAGCAUCUAUGCGCGCCGACGCUGCAUACCCGGGCCACCGACGAACUACCCCCGGCUGCACAACAGUGUUGUGGGGGUGGCGAGCGGCGCUGCAAAAGAUGACGCCCGGGCACCGCUGCAGUAGGGAGGGCAUCGACGCUGCACUGAUCGGCCAUGUUGUGCAACACGACAGAGCGCGGCAAGGCUGCAGUGACUGGUGUUGUUGUGCAACACGACGGAUGCUCACCGGCGACCGGCGGUGUUGCAAUGCAGUGCUCGCCGACGGGUCGUUCAAGCUCUGCCGGGGCUGCAAUGAAGUGUUGUCGAAGCUGCAAUGAAGCGCAUCGGGGUCGUUGAAUCUCCAUCGGGGUUACAAUGGAGCACCACAAGGGCUGCAAUGGAGCGUCGUCGGUGCUUCACCCCAUGUUGUGUUGCCAUGGAAGCUGUCGCUGAAGCUUUUUGCCGGUGUUUCCAAUCCCCCGGCGGCCCCGGUGCUGCGAUGCAGUGUCUCCGGAGGCACUCGCCGGCGGCCCCGGUGCUGCGCAGAUCGAAUAGAGAAGAAAGACAAGGUAGUCGGUGCUCCAGUCCUGGGAAGUAGUCGUGUGAUGGUGAAGAACAGAGAAGAAAGACGACGGCUCUGUUUGUUGCUAUCGAACGGCCACCAUCUGUCAGAUCAGAUGGCUGUCGAGUCGGAUGAUUUCCUACAGAAAUCAUCUGGUAGAUUUGUAGCAGCCGCCUACAAUAUUUUGCCUUACCACCCAGGAUCCAUCUUGAUGGAUGGCAGCGGACUGGACAAGACUUCGGUAAGAAACCAAGACGUGGAGAGCUGAUGGUAAGACCCAACUUGUCGGCCGAUGGAAUAUGGGCCUUGGCAGUGGCAUAUCCGACAAGCCACGCCGCACGGCGUGCAUCGUGAAGGGCCGAGGUGACCCGAUAAGGAGAGAAGCAUCGCGCCGAUGUUUCUACCUCUCCUUGGUUGUCGGAGAUCCUGCCCCCGAUGAGUGCUUUGGUGUCACAAUAGAAAAGCGUGAUGCGGAGCAUCCUACGGUUAUCACCAUGGCUGCUUCAUAACAUAUCUAGUAGACCAAUGGCAAAGAGCUUGUGCAAGAUCUAUUAUAAUCGAGGUCAACUCUCUUAUGGAGCUUCCCUUUGAUUCCCUCGAGACAUGGUUACUACCUCAAAUGAAGAUGCUAUGUGUGCAUAGGUACGACAACCGCCCCAUAACCAAGAGUUGAAGGAGAAGGAGCGGAAGAGGAGGAGAUGACAAGCGUCAAGAAGAAGGCUCCAAAAGAUGCCCGGGACUUCCGACCCAAACACUCAAAAACAUUGUUCGAGCAUGCAAACUCUCUGGAUAGAUGGAUAGCCCGGAACCUUCCUGGAACCUCGUCCGGAACUUCUGACCUGCCUAUGUGUAGUGACUUGGGCCGAUGCCCGUGUAUACUACUGCAGGAUCCUGCUAACGCAACACUAUAACCAGAGACCCUUCAAAUUAUGUGCGAUGCAUAAAUCGCAAAUGACGGUGUAAGAAAACCGUCAAAAAUGGCACGAAUUGUUUGCGA
rnacentral:rRNA from 1 species